rnacentral:rRNA from 1 species
AUUGAACGCUGGCGGCAUGCCUUACACAUGCAAGUCGAACGGCAGCAUGGGUGCUUGCACCUGAUGGCGAGUGGCGAACGGGUGAGUAAUGCAUCGGAACGUACCCGGAAGUGGGGGACAACGUAGCGAAAGUUACGCUAAUACAGCAUAUUCUGUGAGCAGGAAAGCGGGGGAUCGCAAGACCACAGGCUUCCGGCACGGCCGAUGUCGGAUUAGCUGGUUGGCGGGGUAAAGGCCCACCAAGGCCACGAUCCGUAGCGGGUCUGAGAGGAUGAUCCGCCACACUGGGACUGAGACACGGCCCCGCCUCCUACGGGAGGCAGCAGUGGGGAAUUUUGGACAAUGGGGGCAACCCUGAUCCAGCCAUGCCGCGUGAGUGAAGAAGGCCUUCGGGUUGUAAAGCUCUUUCGGCUGGGAAGAAAUCGCAUCUCCUAAUACGGGGUGUGGAUGACGGUACCAGCAUAAGAAGCACCGGCUAACUACGUGCCAGCCGCCGCGGUAA